GACGGAGGAUGCAAGUGUUAUCCGGAAUCACUGGGCGUAAAGCGUCUGUAGGUGGUUUAAUAAGUCAACUGUUAAAUCUUGAGGCUCAACCUCAAAAUCGCAGUCGAAACUAUUAGGCUAGAGUAUAGUAGGGGUAAAGGGAAUUUCCAGUGGAGCGGUGAAAUGCGUAGAGAUUGGAAAGAACACCGAUGGCGAAGGCACUUUACUGGCUAUUACUAACACUCAGAGACGAAAGCUAGGGUAGCAAAUGGG
rnacentral:rRNA from 1 species